rnacentral:lncRNA from 1 species
UUGACCAACUUUAAAAGCAAUGCUCAGCUUCAGCCAUCCUCUUUGGUAAGCCUUACACUUCACAUGAGCUCCCACCUUUGGCGAGUUCAUACACAUUAUUCCCCACAACUUGCUGAGCGAUGAACGUAUGUGAGCUCACUCUUGCGGUCUCACACCCCCCCCACAGGUCAGGAGCAGGUACCACAGGAUGAGGCGCGUGGAGGAUGCUGUGAUGAGUUCGUGAGUGGUCUAGGCCGUCGUCUCCCAGUCAACUUUGGGUUGCUGGACCGUUGUCUCCUUAUAAUGUAAUUAUUUAUUUAUUUUGUAUAGAACUCCUGUUAUAUAGUAAAGAUGUGACAUUCGAUCCUGUGCCACUAUGCAUCAUAUGUGUGAGACUUGGUCCCAGCACACCUGGUGUUUAUGUUCGCGCCCGGGUCUUGGUGCCCCGAAAUCCGGGUGUGACAGAAGUGGUAUCAGAGGAAUGUUGACUGUAGGACGAAACCUAGAUAGUACUGGACAACCUUUACUUACUUUCCUCUGCUACUCUGGUUCUUUUCUAAACUUUUCUUAAUCUUAUCUCAUCUAUUUCCGCUUUACUCUGAUUACUUUUACCUUUUCUUUCAAAAGACAAAUGUGGAUUUCACACUUUGAGAUCCAGUGCCUAAAGUAACCUUUAGGAAUAGGAGACCUACUCUUAGGAACAAAAAUAAAACUAUUUUUGUAUGUAUCUAUACACUUGAAUGUUUGUUCUUAUGAUGCUUGUCUGAUUUGGAUCUUUGAUUGGGUGUGAUGAGUUGUGGAGUAAUUUCCACAAUUACAUCUGCAUAUACAUAUAGAAAAAAAAACACUUACAAAAAAAACUAGAUAAACUAGAUUAUCCCUCGUUAAAGUAUCUAGCCUAAACAAUAUCCAUCUCAGCUUGAAAGAUUGAUACUCUAUUCUCAUAGAUCCAUCUUAUCUCAAAAGAUCCUAACUUAUCCUAAUUAAAAUAUAUCUAGCUUCAUAGAUCCAUUCUUAUCUUAAAAGAACUUAUCUUAUCUUAUCUUAUCCUAACCACUUUGCUUAUCUCACCUCGGAGUAACAAUCAUGAUCCAAUCCAAAUUAAUUAGAUCUUAUGUAGUUCAAACUAGUCACACUAAUCUAACCUAGAUUUGAUCUAAUCUAAAGUGACUUAUCAAACAUGUUAGAUAAUACUGAUGAAAUAGAUUAGACUCUACUCUUAUAGAACAUGUCUUAACUUAGUUCACCCUGCACUAAAUUAAGAACGACAGACCGACUUGGCCAUAUGCAACUACCUUAACCAUCCGAUAAUUGCAUAACCCCUCGAUUUUAACCUAGCAAGAGAUUCUAACCUACCUACACCACAUAAUCCAUCCUACUCACAUAUAUCUUAACCAUAUGUCCUCAACUCGGAUGGCAACUCCAAGAUUAAAGACCGAAGAUGAUCAACCUCAUCGAGGAAGGAUAAGCGCCAAUUCAAGUCUUCAAAGACCAAGCUGAAUCAUCAGAUGAGUCAAGAUCCACUAUGCAUGAUGGAGACCUUCCUUGCCAAAAAUCUUUCUUUCUUAUACUUGUCUUGAUCUUUCUUACCCCAACUUUCUUAGUAAUUGUUAAAACAUGGUUAUAAGAUACCCAUGCUAUCCUACUCACCUACUAGUUAGUCUUAAAAAAAACACUUUAUCGUUUGGUACCAAUUGGAAACUAGAAGCGAAAUACAAACAAAACCUUCUAUAUCCCUUUUCUUAGCAAUCUCGAGGACGAGAUUAUUUUUAAGGGGGUAGGAUUUGUAAUACCCACUUUGUAGGAAAAUUCUAAAAAGAGAAAUUAUAUUACUUUACAUCUAUAUGUGUUAUCUAUGCUUCUCAUUUCAUUUGAACACCACAAUUAAACCAAUAAAUAAAUGAUAAAAGAUAUCCAAAAUAAAACUUGCAUCAUGCUGGGAUUUUAUUUUUGUGUGCAUUUUGUGACAACAUAAGAUAAUGUGAAAAGAAAUAUGUUAAAGUACAAAGUGGAAUUUAAAACUAGAAGAGAUUCAAAAAUUUAGAAGAGAGAAACAAACAAAUAUUAGGGAAAUAAAAACAUAAAUAAUAUCCACAAAUUAGAACUUGUCAUGGCAUAAUGUAAUCUGUGGAUAAAGAAAUUGCCACAAAACCUUUGAAUUUGAAUUUGGAGCUAAAUGGAAUUGGAAUUGAAAGGGGAACAAAAAUAGAAAAUAUUAGAAAAGAAGAAGACAUGGCGCCUGGGCCAGCUACCUUCAUUCUGGCCCACCUCCUCUAUCUUACGCUCGCGGCCCAUCUUCAUUCCCAUCCCGCGCAGCCCACUCGUCCGCACGGUACCACUGUCUGGUGGCCCCUCUCGUCAGCGGGGUCGUCUCCUUUCCUGGUUGACUGCUUGGCGCAAAACAGAACCGGGCGAACGCCGCGGCAUGGGCGGACCUCGCGCGGCGGAAAACUCCGUUGACAUCCGAGCUCGCGGCCAACUAACUCCGCAACAAACUCCACCUCGGACUCCGUUUUCUUCGGCCGAUGGGGGGUCCUCGCGGGGAAUAUAAACCGCCGCCCCUGCCCAUCACCAGAGGGAGCAUGGAGGGCAGUGAGGUCCGCCGUGGGGGCAAAUCCACCAAACCCCGGAUGGCGUGCGAUUGGGAUUCGGUCUGGGGAGAUCGCCUUGGCGCAUAGAUGCUAGUCGGGGAAUCGCCCAGGCAAAUUUAGGCUUCAGGCCACUGGAAUCACUCGUCGAAGAUCCGAUUCCGCCGCGGCUUGUGGGCAGAGAGUUGUAUGGAACUAAUCACGGUGAGGAAGCCUCUUCCGAGUUCGCGCUGUCCUUCUUCGCGUAUUUAACCUUCUGGUUGGGUAAUUGGGGCUCGGGUGCGCGUAUUGCGUGAUCUCCGGCGAUGGUCCACCGUGCGUUCCCUGGGCGGUGCCGCCGUGGCUUCGGCGUGGGGAGGAAGACGCACGGUCACCGUUGAUCUGACCAUCGGCGGCCCAGAUUAGAUCGACUGGACACCGGUUCGGUGGAUUUGAUCUGACCGUAGAGUCUUGGAUCGAUGGCCCGGAUCGGAGUAGGUGCGCACCGUUAGAUGGCGAUCUGGUGGCCAAGAUUGGAUACCGGUUCAUAAAGGGUCCUAACUUAAUCCGAUCCGCAGAACUCUAAUCGGACGGCUCACGUGGCUAGAUACCCCUUCGUCGAUUCCGUUUUGUAAAAGAGACCCUGUACUUUCACAGAAUCAACCCGCCGUCCAUGGGCGAUGUUCACUGAGUCUUAGAAAAUUUACGUGUUAGCCCCUGGGCUUCUCCGAAUAUGGCGCGCCGACCAGUUAGCAAAUAAAAUCAAGGAAAUUCAUUUUAAAAUCAUUUUUAAUACGAAAAUAAUGGUAGAAACUUGUAUAAAUCAUAGAAAAUUCAUAUGGAGCUCAAAUUUAACCAUUCCAAUUUCUAAAAUUUUGUAAUAAUAUUCUCUAUCAUUUAGUAUCACUGUUUUGACAUGAACUCAGUUAGAAAAUUAAUUUCUCAACUAAUCCUAUUUUAAUCACAUUAAACCUUAGGAAAUUCAUAACUUGAAUUCUAUAACUCCAAAAUUAAUGGUUCCUGUUCCUAUGAUCUUAUUUUAAUAUGUAUAUUAUUAAUGUGUAUUUUGUCCUUAUGUUUGGUGUAAUGUUAAUUUUGCCUAUACCAUGUUUGUUUGAAUUACUACGACUAGCAGUGAGGUCACGAGUCAUCUGAAGAUCAUCCUGGUACCUGGAAUCUCAAGGCCCAGGCAAGUUGUGCCCUUGAUCACUUCUUUUUACCCACUCAUGUUCUAAUUAAUCAUAAUGAUCUGCAUAGGUUAAUUUGAUGGGACCCAAUAGGUUACCCUAGUUUGUCUAUCUUUAUACCUUGUUUACCACUGAACUUUUUGGGUAGUACUUGCUAGUGCUUUAUGUGGUUUUGGGUAUGAAGAUACAUUAUUUAUGAUUACACUUUUAUUAUCUAUUUAUUAUUACUGUUCAUGAUAAGAUCAUUAUGUUAAUUGGAACAUGGAGAACCACCCGGGAAAACAGUGCUACCACAAGGGUUUAAUGGGACGCCCUUGGCUGACUAAUUAGGAAAGCUAGUGGAGGACUACCUUACCCGAAAGGGGCAAGGGCAGUAGGGGAGUGGUCAGUGUAGGGAGGCCCUCGGGAGGAUUUUGCUGUGAUGGCGGUCCUGCAAGGGAUUCCUGGGAAGGCCCUCGGGAGGAUUUUGCUGUGAUGGCGGUCCUGCAAGGGAUUCCUGGGGAGGCCCUCGGGAGGAUUUUGCUGUGAUGGCGGUCCUGCAAGGGAUUCCUGCAUUGGAGCUUCCUAUAAACUGUAGCGGGUUUUCUGAAGCUAGUGGAACUUUGUAAAGGCCUCGUAGUGUUACCCUGCCUCGCCUCCUCGGUAGAGGUGUAUGGGAAGUCGCGAUCCCUUGGCAGAUGGGUAACAUGACUUGUGGGUAAAGAUGCGCAACCUCUGCAGAGUGUAAAACUGGUAUACUAGCCGUGCUCACGGUCAUGAGCAGCUCGGACACUCACAUGAUUAAUCUAUGGAACUUAAAUUCAAUUUGUCAUAUGCAUUGCAUCGCAGGUGAUGUUGUUACUUCUGUUCUACUAUUUAAUUGGGUUGGUAUUUACUUAUACUUAGUAAUGGCUAAUAAAAAUUUGACCAACUUUAAAAGCAAUGCUCAGCUUCAGCCAUCCUCUUUGGUAAGCCUUACACUUCACAUGAGCUCCCACCUUUGGCGAGUUCAUACACAUUAUUCCCCACAACUUGCUGAGCGAUGAACGUAUGUGAGCUCACUCUUGCGGUCUCACACCCCCCCCCCCACAGGUCAGGAGCAGGUACCACAGGAUGAGGCGCGUGGAGGAUGCUGUGAUGAGUUCGUGAGUGGUCUAGGCCGUCGUCUCCCAGUCAACUUUGGGUUGCUGGACCGUUGUCUCCUUA